UGGUAAUGCCGGAUGUUCCACAUGAGCGCAUGCGAGUGUGGGAAAGGCUUUUUGCGGCAUGGGAUGGGGUCGCGUCCUAUCAGCUUGUUGGUGGGGUAACGGCCUACCAAGGCGUUGACGGGUAGCCGGCCUGAGAGGGCGACCGGCCACAUUGGGACUGAGAUACGGCCCAGACUCCUACGGGAGGCAGCAGUGGGGAAUAUUGCACAAUGGGCGCAAGCCUGAUGCAGCGACGCCGCGUGCGGGAUGGAGGCCUUCGGGUUGUAAACCGCUUUUGUUCAAGGGCAAGGCACGGUCUUUGGCCGUGUUGAGUGGAUUGUUCGAAUAAGCACCGGCUAACUACGUGCCAGCAGCCGCGGUAAUACGUAGGGUGCAAGCGUUAUCCGGAUUUAUUGGGCGUAAAGGGCUCGUAGGCGGUUCGUCGCGUCCGGUGUGAAAGUCCAUCGCUUAACGGUGGAUCCGCGCCGGGUACGGGCGGGCUUGAGUGCGGUAGGGGAGACUGGAAUUCCCGGUGUAACGGUGGAAUGUGUAGAUAU
rnacentral:rRNA from 2 species